ensembl:rRNA 5S_rRNA 5S ribosomal RNA
GCUUACGGCCAUACCAGCCUGAAUACGCCCGAUCUCGUCCGAUCUCGGAAGCUAAGCAGGGUCGGGCCUGGUUAGUACUUGGAUGGGAGACCGCCUGGGAAUACCAGGUGCUGUAAGCG